GUAAUUAUUAUAUGUAUAAUAUGCAAAUAUUUUAUGAUUGUUUUUACACUACAAAUAACAUUUAUACCAUACAUUAGGUUCGUUCCAAGACGACACAUUUGUACGAUCCCUUGAACCGCCACGAAAUCGAUUGGACUGUUUUAAUGCGCAGAAUCGCCCUUGAACGGUUUUCUUUCGAUCUCGAUCGGAUUACCGGUACGUAACCCUCUUGGAACGAAUUCGUGUACCAUUUCAAGUUCGAGUUGCGCCUGAGCCAUUUUCAGUGCGAGUACCACUGUACCACUAGUAGUUUGCUAGAUGGUUAUGGUUAAAAAUUAAUAUUUCUAAUGUCCACUUUACAUCAACAAUAAAUUGAAUAAGAAAUUGACAAAGUUAUUCAAUACCAAAUUUGACGAGUACAAAAUGUAUGGUUUGUAAAAGAAAGUGAAAUAAUUUGAUGAAAUAGAACAAUUGGAUAUGUUUUAUUUUGUCAAUUUUCUUUUUAUUCACGGCAAAAUUGGAUGUAGAAUUGUGUUUUGUAUAAGCCAAAUUUGACCUUAAAUAACUUUGUCAAUUUCUUGUUCAAUUUAUUGUUGAUGUAAAGUGGACUUAACAUGUUCAUUAAACAUCACUUCAGCUUCAAAACCUUCCCCAGAAUCGAUAUCUGACAUUAAAUCGUUGUCUUCUAUGAAAAAAGAAAAUAAUAAAUUAUCCAUUUUUAUAAGAUUAAUUUGAAAAAAAAAAGAAUUAAUAAUUAUUUAAACGGAAAUCAAGAUUCACAGGUACUAAUAGCGUAAAUUGUGGAUUAUUCUAUUAUUGAAUCAUCAGCUGAUCUCAUAGCAGUGACCAGUAAAAAUAAAAACAAUCCUAACUGCGCAAGUCAGUACAAAUAGUUUCUGCUUGAAGGGAGAGAUUAAAUAUCCAGCACGCAACCGCGCUGUUGCCAGAUUUACAUAUUUUCUAUUAGCGGGAAUUUUAAAAUCUCGAAUGCGAGUUGGUUUAAAAUUUGACAGUUGUGUUUUCUCGAAUCGGAAUCUUAACCUUACUUUUGUGAUUAUUUAUUUACAAAUAUGUAAAUAAAUUCAAACAAGUAUUGUAUGUACCUACUGUGUUAUAAUUUAAAACUCUUAAUUAUGUUAGUCUUUAAAAAAAAUGAAGCCCACAAAAAUACACUUGUUUACAGUGCAAAUGAUUUUUUAAUGGAAAUAGGGAUUUAGGAUUUCAUUUGCAGGAAAAACAUGGGCAACCUACCCAGUUCGUAAAAUUGCAAUUCAAAAACUCUUUAGAUUUUACUGUCUGGAUGGCACAGGAAGAGACACAAAAUAAUAUUCAGUACUGCAGUCACAGGAGUACAUAGAGUACGUAGAGAUAUAAGAAAACAGCUGUUCAACAUCACCUGACACCGUUUAGUUUUUAGAAAAUGAAAAGUCUUUAGGUUGAAUGCGAUCUGCAGUAUCUUGCAUUGCUACAUAAUGAAUGUGUUUAUAUAUGGUAUUUUUUAUUGAAUAAUCUAUACAGGAACAACUAAAUGAAUGUAUACAUAUAUUGCAGACAUUGCAUUUAGUUUUUUAGAGCAGCAAGUUUUUUUGUGUUUCAACAAGGUAUUCAGUUUUUUUUUUCUUUUAGUAUAUACACAUUAUUAUCUUGUAAAAUAGCAAGCUAAUACAGUUCGGUAUCUAGACGUUAUGGAGCAUUCAACAGGUUUACCUUUUUUAAGCUUUAUAACCCUUUCAACAGUUUUAUUCCUUAAAAACAAUAACAACUGAUUUUCAAUGGUCAUAUUAUUGGUAUUUUAAUUCCAUAAUCCUUCCUAUAACAAUAGGUGCAUUGUUGGAAGUUAUUACAGUAGUUCUGCUGGAAAUACUUACCAAAAUUGUAUGUAUCUGCAUCAUUUAGAAUUUUACCCAAACACCUAUUAAUACUCUAUCUGAAUCUAACAUGUAUUGCAGCUCUUUCAAUGUCUUGUAUACAUAGGAUUUUUUCAGAAUCAGAUAUUUCAUUAAGAUUUACUUGCCAUGCCUUGUCUAUGUACCAGGGACAUAACAGUCUAUUAGGAACAGAACCCAUUACAUUCAGGCAUUGUAAAAAGUGUUAGUUAUGUCUGAUAUGAAAACAUUUGACUAUAUAAUACCAGCACACUCAUGUAUUUUUUCAAAAAAAGUUGGUAAAUAAAAGUAUUUUUUAUGAGCCCAUGAGUUCCAUUAGUUGCGAUAAGCGAUUUACCAAACUUAAUUAAUAUUUCCUUUUGCACAGUAUUCAUGGAAACACAUAAGACAAAAAUCAUUAUUGUUUAAUUCGGGAGGAUUAUCAAUAAUUGAAUCGUUUAUUUCAGAAAGGGGUCAAGUCACAAGUAUCCACUUUUGAGAAAAUAAAGUUUACACACUGUUUACAUUCAACAAACAAUCACAUUAUAUAAAAUAAAAAUUCUACCUAGCAACCUGGAGUAUUUGUUAAAAAAUGUUGUAUUUUUUAAAAAUGUAUCUUGUUAAAUUGUUUAAGAAAAAAAAUUAAUUUUUUGCACUCAUUUUGUCAAGAUUUGUCACUUGACCUCUUUCUGAAAUAAACGAUUCAAUUAGUAUGCCCUGUUGUUUGUAAAAUAAUAUUGGACAUAACCCGGUCUGUAAGCAUUCACUUACCCACAAAUGAACACUGGUUGCGUUAUCUUUGUGCCUACAUCCAUCUUUCAAAUCAACGUCAUAGGAGUGUUUAAUGUUCGUGUUAUCUUUUCUUGUAAGUAAAUCAACUCUCAAUAAUAUUUAAAAAAUGGAUUAGUGGUAACAUUUUUAUUUUAAAUUAUAUUGUGUAUAUGUAAAUAUUUUACUUACAUUUUUGAAUAUGCCCAUAAUGUGUUUUAAAAUAUGUUACUUUUAUGUAUUGUAAUAUUCCUGCACAACAAUCAGUUUAAAUAUUUUUAGAUAUUAGUAUUUGAUUAGUACACGAAAUGCAGAGAUGUUCUCUCUUCUAUCUUAAGAGCUGAUUUAAUCUCUACUUGUAUCUGUAAAGUUUAUCAUUUUUUCCCAUAGACAAUUUCAACACUUCCGGUUCCUCAGCGUCUAUAUCCAAACCUGUUACGAUGACAUAAUCAUAUUUCUCUUCUCUUUCUCUAGGUAAUCUAGUCUAGUAAUUAAUUCUCGAACUGUCUUGUUUGUAUUAAAUAUCUUAAUUAUGUACUUAUUUUAUUUUUAUAAUGAAAAUUAAUAAAUCAACCAUAUGCGGCACAGGAUCCAAAUGUUUUCGGAAAUAUAUCUAUAAAAAUUUAAUUACCUCUUUUGUAUACGACAUAUCGAUACAUUUUUGGCAAAGUAGCGUAAGUGACAUUUUUGAAAAUCAUGUUUUUCCCAUUAAACUAACGCUAUUAUUGUUCAGAAGGUACUGCCAAAGUGUAGUAAGCCUAUACAUAUAUAUUAUGUUUAAAGUAAUUCUAGGCUUACUACACUUUGGUAGUAACUUCUAAACAAUAAUAGUGUUAGUUUAAUGGAAAAACAUGUUUUUCCCCAAAAAUGUCACUUACGUUACUUUGCCAAAAAUAUAUCGAUAUAAUAUAAUAAGUAAAAACUAUUUUUAUAGCUAGGAAUUACUUUAUUGAACAGUCUUAACCUUCGGAUGACCAAGCGGGGGAAAUUGUGACCCCAGCUUAUGUUUUUCUUUAAUAAAUUCAAAAGUAUUUUCAAUUUUUAACUCAUUAUUUUUUUAUUUGACUUUAAUAUCAUUCUAGAUAUCCUCAUAUUUUGAAAUAAAAAGAAUUCCCUAUAUUUUACGAAUAAAAAAUAUAUUCUGAAGUUGAUGUUUAGUAAAAUAGCGUCUAUUAUGUGUAAUUCCAAGUAGUGUUACGCUAAUGACGUCGACUUUGCAAAGUAACAAGGCACUUACUCAACAUACACACUACACAUGACACUAAUACUCAUGUUGUGACUGGCUGAAUGACAUAAAGUCCAUGCCAUAAAAAAAAUUUAAAAAAAAUUAAAAAAAACUUCAUUUUUUUGUUAAAUGUUAUUUUUGACCAUUUCCCCCCCCCCCCCUUGGUCAUCCGUGUAACAAAAAAAAGGUUGGUCAUCGGAAGGUUAAACCUGUUCAUAAAUUUUGUUACUAUAUUUUUUAACUCCGAUUAUAACAAUAAUAACUUUUUAGUUUAGAUUUAGGUCAAAGUGUGUAAUGUCAUGUUUUAUGUAUAGUAUUUUUACUACAAAAGCGAUAUUACGUAGGUCAAAAUUUUUGACGUAAGAGAACUGUCAAAACAUUAGAAUGUGACUUUUCAUUAUUGUCAUUUUAUUAUAAACAUGGCAAUAAUGAAAAGUCACAAUCUGAUGUUUUGACAGUUAUCUUACGUCAAAAAUUUUAACCUACGUAAUAUCGCUUUUGUAGUAAAAAUACUAUAUUUUUUAGCCCUAACACAUUUGUAGGUAGCAAAUCAUAUUUGUUAUUCUUAUCUUAUUUUAAUUAUAUUCAUUUUUUUGAUUUAACGAAAUAAACCUAUCAAUAAAAAAACUGUUGUUUAGUUGUGUACACCCAAAAACUAACUUGAUGUAAUACAGAUGUCAAUUGAAUAUGACGUAAAUACAUGUCAUAAAGAUGUCUUACGUCACAAAAUUACCACAAUAAAACGUUGCCACUAAUUGCUCAAUUUAAUGUCAUUCAAGUUAGAUGUGAUGAAUAGGGCUUUUUAUUCACAGUCAUUUGUUUUGAGCUUCUGUCAUGUGUCACAUAAUAUUAAUAUAUAUACGUCAUACGUUAUUGGUAAUACCAAUGAUACAAAUCAAAGACGUAUGGCGUAAAUAUAUUAAUAUUGUAUGACACAUGACAGGAGCUCGAAACAAAUGACAAUCGAUGAAAAGCCCUAUUGAUGGCAAAUUGGUCAUUAAACCUGACAUCAUAUUUUGGUCAUGUUUAGGUCUCCUACCAAUUAAGACUAAAAAAACAUGUCAUUUAGACUUCACUCUGUUGGCUGGUCAGUUAAAGGAUUUGAAAUAUAUGGAUUACUGAAUUUUAAAGAAAGCUGCAUUAAAUAUAAUGAAAAAAGACAACCUAUGACAAUAAAACAUUAAUUGUUAGUCUUUGUUCUGCUCAUACUUAACAUAAUCGUCCUAUUUGAAGUCCACAUACUGUGUAAUAAAACUUAAAGCCACUUUGUGGGCGUUUUUGACAUUUUCAUAAUUGUCUUUAAUAGUAAAAUGUAUGUGUAACACAAUAGAUGUAAAAUUAUUAUUAUUAACACAUUUACGGACACGCUUUGCCUGUAGCCACGUCUUCUUAUGGAGCAAAUGACUUCAUAUGCAGUCGUGUCUGUGAAUGUGUUAAAUAAUUAACAGAAAAAAUUAUUUUAAUUGCUUUAGCUUUCAAUAUAAACCACAAUAAUACCACCAUUAAUUUUUAAGUAUAUUAUGUAAGAAAAUAGAAUUUACCUAAUAACUCACCUCGCCGCCAGGUAAAGUAAAGGUGCUACGUCACUGAAAUGUUUUUUCAUUUUGAUUUAUUUUGUUGCUUUAGUUAGCAGAUACAUGAUGGGAAUUAUUCAUACAAUACAUAUUAAUACUAUUAAAACUAAUACAUAUUAAUACUAUUAAAACUAAUACAUAUUAAUAUUCUAAAUAAUUAUUUAAUACUAAAAUAAAGAAAAAUGUCUAUCUAUACUACAUUAAUUGAGACAUUUUCACUUUUCUUUUCGCAGGAUCCUCGGGAUUUUAAAGCUGUGUCUCUAUCUUUAUCUUGUUUUGUACAAUAAUUAUUGUUUGAGAAUGGCAUACAUACAUAAUAAGAUGCUUCAUGUUUUUGUACUCCUGUGACUGCAGUACUGAAUAUUAUUUUGUUUCUCUUCCUGUGCCAUCCACACAGUAAAAUCUACAAAAACAACAGAUGAUUACAUGGGAAGUUAUACCAGUCUAUAUUCCUUGGUUAUACCACAGUAUAGGAGGAAUUCCUCCUAGGCUGUGGUUAUACUACUUAUAGCUUACUUUUAUCUAAUAUCUACCUACAUAAAACUACCUUUGAUAUCAACAUCAACCUUAAUACUUAAAAAAUAAAUAAUAAUGUGGAAGUUAUUCCAUACCUACCUAAAGAGUUUUUGAAUUGAAAUUUUACCAACUGGGUAGGUUGCCCAUGUUUUUCCUGCAAAUGAAAUCGUAAAUCCCUAUUGCCAUUAAUUUGCACUGUAAACAAGUAUAUCUCUUUUGGGCUUAAUCUUUUUAGGACUAACAUAAUUAAGCGUUUUAAAUUAUAACACAGUACAUACAAUACUUGUUUUAAUUUAUUUACAUUUGUAAAUAAAUAAUCACAAAAGUAAGGUUAAGAUUCGGAUGUCAAAUUUUAAACCAAUUCGCAUUAGAAAUUUUAAAAUUCCCGCUAUGUAAAUCUGGCAACAGCGCGGUUGCGUGCUGGAUAUUUAAUCUCUCCCCUGCUUGAAGGCAUGUAUCAAAAGGGCCGUUCUUAAGUGCACUUUAAGUCCACUUUACAUCAACAAUAAAUUGGACAAGAAAUUGACCAAGUUAUUCAAGGCCAAAUUUGACGUGUAAAAGCACACUUUGACAUCUAAGUUUGUUCGUUAUAAACUUCACGUGAAGAAAUUGACGAAAAAGAAAAUUGUUCUAUUUUUUUCAUUUUAUUUGGCGUGAAUUCAGUGUCACCAACCUGUGUCCAUUUGGCGGGAAGUGGAAGUAGAGCUUUUUGUUUAUUAUUAUUUGUUGAGGUUGAGUCUUUCAUGUUCAUGACCCUAACAACACACAACAUUCCAGGAAUGUACUACCAAAGUUCUAUCAAUAUUUGAAUGUCCUGGACAUUUAGGGAACAUUCGGUGAACAUCUGUUUAAAUUAUUCCUGGAAUGUUACCAUAAGACAUUCUGUGAACAUACUACCAAUGUUCCUAUAUUUUAAGUUGCGAAAUAAUACAUACGUGUAAGAGAUACAACAUUACUUAUAACAUACCAGACAAACUAAGUGACAUUUUAGGCCUACAGUGCAAUAAUAUGUCAAAUUUAAAGAGUUUCCCAAGAUUAUAAACAUACAAAUGUAAUAAAAAUUAUUGUUCGCGAAUAUUCAAUUUGGAAUGCGAUUUUGUUAAUAAAAAAAAUACUUAUAACUUAUGCAAAACCCAAGAGAGGCAUUUAUAUUUAUUUCUUUUGCGUUCAUUUUCAAAUUCGCCGUGCAUAUAUUUUUGUGCAUGGCGCUUGAGAGGGCAUCACGUGACUAAAAACGACCAACCAACGACCUCGCUUCGGCCAUCUUGGCAUCUUCAUCUUGGCGACCUUGCCUUGCCGUGGAUUGUUUUUAGUUGUUUGUAUUAUUUGUGCUUUGUAAGAAUAUUUUUUUAAUUCGGAUACUUUUAUAAUAGCUUUAAUAGUAUUAUUAACAUAGUGCAUAAAAUGGUGUCCUGUUUUUAACGCAGUUGGAGUAGCAGAAACAAAUGUAGAUAAAAAAAUCUGCAGGAAUAACGUUUCAAUUAUGACAGAAGCUCAAAACAAAUGACUGUGAAUGAAAAGCCCUAUUAAAAGCUUUCCAGAAGAUCCUGCGAAGAAGACAUGAAGUAUAGAUCAGAUUUGUUAAUAGAGGAGUAUGUUCAAAACACUUUUUAGAAAAAGAUAUUGACAGAACUUCACUUUCAUCUGUUCGUUUGAGAGACUGUGCUGUUCCAAUAGCUUAUGUCACACAGAAUCAGCUGAGAGAAGUGGUCUACAAAAAACCAGAAAGGAAACGGAAUAUGUGGCUACGAAAAGCAAAAGAAAGGUUUACAAAGCAAAUGUGACACAUUUUUUUAUAAUAUUUAGGAAUGUCAGCAAAUUACAUUAAAAAAU
rnacentral:lncRNA from 1 species